rnacentral:rRNA from 1 species
AUUGAACGCUGGCGGCAUGCCUUACACAUGCAAGUCGAACGGCAGCGCGGACUUCGGUCUGGCGGCGAGUGGCGAACGGGUGAGUAACAUAUCGGAACGUGCCCUGGAGUGGGGGAUAACUAGUCGAAAGACUAGCUAAUACCGCAUACGAUCUAUGGAUGAAAGUGGGGGAUCGCAAGACCUCAUGCUCGUGGAGCGGCCGAUAUCUGAUUAGCUAGUUGGUGGGGUAAAGGCCUACCAAGGCAUCGAUCAGUAGCUGGUCUGAGAGGACGACCAGCCACACUGGGACUGAGACACGGCCCAGACUCCUACAGGAGGCAGCAGUGGGGAAUUUUGGACAAUGGGGGCAACCCUGAUCCAGCAAUGCCGCGUGAGUGAAGAAGGCCUUCGGGUUGUAAAGCUCUUUUGUCAGGGAAGAAACGGUCCGGGCUAAUAUCCUGGGCUAAUGACGGUACCUGAAGAAUAAGCACCGGCUAACUACGUGCCAGCAGCCGCCGUAA